rnacentral:misc_RNA from 1 species
UACAACACUGCGUGAGGGAUAGCAGUGAAAAGCCCACAGUGAAGUGUAGCGAUAGCGAAACGUAGCGAGGACUUGUAACAAAUAGCCCGACCCUUU